GACGAACGCUGGCGGCGUGCCUAAUACAUGCAAGUCGAACGCAGUGGCGACGGGUGAGUAACACGUUGGUAACCUCCCAUCAGAGGGGAUAACACUUGGACACAGGUGCUAAACCGAUACUGAUGGAUGAACCCGCGGUGCAUUAGCUAGUUGGUGAGGUAACGGCUCACCAAGGACACGGUGCAUAGCAGACCGUAGAGUGUGAUCGGUCACACUGGGACUUAGACACGGCCCAGACUCCUACGGGAGGCAGCAGUAGGGAAGCUUGGGCAAUGGGCGAAAGUCUGACCGAGCAACGCCGCGUGAGUGAAGAAGGUUUUCGGAUCGUAAAGCUCUGUUGUUAGAGAAGCGUUAUCUAACCAGAAAGCAACGGCUAACUCCGUGCCAGCAGCCGCGGGAAGUC
rnacentral:rRNA from 1 species